GCAGAGCAUCCUACGGGAGGCAGCAGUGGGGAAUAUUGCACAAUGGGCGCAAGCCUGAUGCAGCCAUGCCGCGUGUAUGAAGAAGGCCUUCGGGUUGUAAAGUACUUUCAGCAGUGAGGAAGGUGGGUAUGUUAAUAGCAUACUCAUUUGACGUUAGCUGCAGAAGAAGCACCGGCUAACUCCGUGCCAGCAGCCGCGGUAAUACGGAGGGUGCGAGCGUUAAUCGGAAUUACUGGGCGUAAAAGCGCAUGCAGGUGGUUUGUUAAGUCAGAUGUGAAAGCCCGGGGCUCAACCUCGGAAUUGCAUUUGAAACUGGCAAACUAGAGUACUGUAGAGGGGGGUAGAAUUUCAGGUGUAGCGGUGAAAAUGCGUAGAGAUCUGAAGGAAUACCGGUGGCGAAGGCGGCCCCCCUGGACAGAUACUGACACUCAGAUGCGAAAGCGUGGGGAGCAAAACAGGAUUUAGAUACCCCUGGUAG
rnacentral:rRNA from 1 species